rnacentral:rRNA from 1 species
AAAACUUUCAACAACGGAUCUCUUGGUUCUGGCAUCGAUGAAGAACGCAGCGAAAUGCGAUAAGUAAUGUGAAUUGCAGAAUUCAGUGAAUCAUCGAAUCUUUGAACGCACAUUGCGCCCCUUGGUAUUCCGGGGGGCAUGCCUGUUCGAGCGUCAUUACAACCCUCAAGCUC